UACAGAGGUCUCAAGCGUUGUUCGGAUUCAUUGGGCGUAAAGGGUGCGUAGGCGGCGGAGCAAGUCAGGUGUGAAAUCCCGGAGCUCAACUCCGGAACUGCACUUGAUACUGCCUCGCUAGAGUACUGGAGAGGAGACUGGAAUUUACGGUGUAGCAGUGAAAUGCGUAGAGAUCGUAAGGAAGACCAGUGGCGAAGGCGAGUCUCUGGACAGUUACUGACGCUGAGGCACGAAGGCCAGGGGAGCAAACGGG
rnacentral:rRNA from 1 species